rnacentral:lncRNA from 1 species
UAAUUGUUGGAAGGCUUAAUUAUAUAAAACUUGAUUUCUUAUAAGUGAAAAGGAUAAUGAAGCUUCCGCACCCAUGGAAGGAAAGGAGAGAAGGCGUGGGUUCAUGAGAGAGAAGAGAGAAAGAGAAAAAUCUGAUUGUUCACUCUUACUUAUCCAUAUAGUACCAUGAGAUGCAUUUAGUGUAUAAUAUCUAUUUUGUCCUCC